AUAAAAUAGCAAAUGAUUCGGACAGAGACGCCAUCUUUAAGGAGGUCAAAUCCGACUGAUUAUUAACAUCGAAAGUCAGAAGAUUGCAACACUUAUGCUCUUGAACUAUACAUAAAUACAUGCUAUACAUAAUUUUUACCGGUAUAAUCUUGAAGAUUUUGGAAGCGGCGAUGGAAGAUAUUAGCAGGACGGAGAAGUAUCAAUUCGAUAAACAGGGGAAAUAUAAGAAGAAAAUGAAUGGAUGUCAAAGCUACAGUUCGCUCAGGACCCCGAAUGUGUUUUCUCCACUGUAG
rnacentral:misc_RNA from 1 species